rnacentral:rRNA from 1 species
UCCGAAGGGGGCUAGCGUUGCUCGGAAUUACUGGGCGUAAAGCGCACGUAGGUGGCGACGUAAGUCGGGUGUGAAAGCCCCGGGCUCAACCUGGGAAUUGCAUUCGAGACUGCAUUGCUGGAGUACGGAAGAGGAGGGCGGAAUUCCCGGUGUAGCGGUGAAAUGCGUAGAUAUCGGGAGGAACAUCAGUGGCGAAGGCGGCCCUCUGGUCCAGUACUGACACUCAAGUGCGAAAGCGUGGGGAGCAAACAGG